UGGGGAAUAUUGCACAAUGGGCGCAAGCCUGAUGCAGCCAUGCCGCGUGUGUGAAGAAGGCCUUCGGGUUGUAAAGCACUUUCAGCGGGGAGGAAGGCGUUAAGGUUAAUAACCUUGGCGAUUGACGUUACCCGCAGAAGAAGCACCGGCUAACUCCGUGCCAGCAGCCGCGGUAAUACGGAGGGUGCAAGCGUUAAUCGGAAUUACUGGGCGUAAAGCGCACGCAGGCGGUUGAUUGAGUCAGAUGUGAAAUCCCCGGGCUUAACCCGGGAAUUGCAUCUGAUACUGGUCAGCUAGAGUCUCGUAGAGGGGGGUAGAAUUCCAGGUGUAGCGGUGAAAUGCGUAGAGAUCUGGAGGAAUACCGGUGGCGAAGGCGGCCCCCUGGACAAAGACUGACGCUCAGGUGCGAAAGCGUGGGGAGCAAACAGG
rnacentral:rRNA from 1 species